CAACCGGGGGCGGGGCCUGAUGCCCUGAGCUCCGCCCUCCGGCCCCCUGCAGCCAGCUUUGGGGGGGCCUUGGUGAGGCUGCAGAAGAGAAGUUGGGGGCCCUGUGGCUGGGGGUAGAGCUGGGGUAGCCUCUUUUCUUUUUUCCUGUGCUUUCGGUGCGGUCCACCUCCAGGAGGCCUGACAAGCUGCUGAACGUCAGUCAGGACCUGUCAAGCACAGUCAUUUAAGACAGCUGCCUGACGGAGCUCAUGACAGCUGAUCUUAGGGACCAGACACCCAGGAAAGGAGUUUAGGGUGGAGGAUUUCUGUGGGCAGAACUCAAGGAUCUUGAACCUCAGAGUUAUAAGCCACUUCAGAGGGCCCCUGACCCAGCCUGCUCCUGAACAGGAGUUCUCUCUACCAUGUUUGCAACCAAUGGCCAGUCACCCUCUGUCUGAAGACUUCUUGUAAGAGGAUGCCCGCACUUCUUCCUAAGGCAGCUCAUUCCACUUUGGGCCAGUUUUAAUUUUGCCUUUCAUGGAGCUCAAAUCUGCCCACUGUCUGUAACCUUCUGCCAUUUCUGCCAGUUCUCCCCCCUGGGGCCAAGCAGAGCAUGUGUAACCCUUCUUCCAUGUUGCAGCCCCUCAGAUGCUUGAAGACUGCUCUCAUGUCCUUCGUGGAGUCAUCUUCUCCAGGCCAGUCCUCCCAAGUUCCAGACAACAGUGCUUCUGUGGUCCUACCUUCACCAUCCAGUCAUCCUCCUCUGGAUGCCCUGCCCUGGUUUAUCAACAUCCUUCCUGGAAUACGGCCCCAGAACUGAAUUUAGUACUAGGGACAUGAUCUGACCAGAAAAGCAAGGGACAGUGGGACUGCAAUCACUUCCCUAGUUCUAGCCAUCUUCUCUUCCUUUAAGUGUCAUUCCAGGUGCCAGCUCCUCCUUCAAACCCUCCCUGACUCUCCACCUCAGGAUUCUUUCUAUCCUCAAAUGUCCCCGGAGCAUCUUGGAUAGUUCUUUCCUUUGUCACUAUCAUAUUCUACCUUAUCUCAUACUUAGCUAUGUAAAUGUUAUUUUCCCCUGCCAAAUCAUAAGCUCCCUGAAAGCAGAGACUGU